ensembl:lncRNA
UUUUCCUUGGAGAUUGUAAGUUUUUCAGAAAGACAUGCUGGCACACACCCACGCUGCUCCCCCCCCACUGCAAUCCCUUCCCAUCCAGACUGCAGUGUGACUAGGAGCAGGAAAAACACAGAAAAUCCAUCCAUCUCAAUGGUAUUUCACAUCUAAGACUUAACCCACAAAUAAUGACUUACCCCUGGCACCUUCCAGACAUACUGAUGUUACGAAUGAAUUAACCAAGGAACAAAAUGCUUCACUGCCAACUGAGAGCUAAGCCUUGAAGUUUAGUGCUACUACUGCUAACAUAUUUCAGUUGGAUCUCAAACCAUGGUAUGAAGAGGAACUGAUACCAGCGAAGGAGACGCAUUUCUUGUCAAGAAAGAGUCUCACGAUUCCUUUGCUCCAAGGAAAUUUGAAUAAAGGAACACUUUGUUUGGAAAUGUGCCUAUUCUACUUGGACAGAGUUAAAAAAUGAGUCGAGGAAAGCAAACAGAGCUAGAAAACAUUGCAAAGAAAACUGUACUUUUGUAACUAAAAAUUCAAGUUUUUAAAAUUUCCCAUGGGACUUUUUGACCAUCCAUCCUUACUGGGACAUUACUUUUGCACUUUACCCCUGAAACUCUUGCAGGACAAGGAGUUUGUUGUGCUUGAAUGCCUUGCCCCAGCAAAUAGAGGAUUUCCCAGCCUUUAGAGACAGAAAAGGAUCUCAAACUGACCAGUUGCCAUAAUUUAUACUUUGACACUACAUGGG